AGUGUACAUAACUGAAUCGGGAAACAUUAAAUUUUCAUUACAUAUUGUCCGAAUACAUAAAUAGGAUUACAAAAUCCAAGAGAUUAAUACUAAAUUGAGCUAACAACUGAAAACAUAAAGAAACUAAAUCUUAUACAAAUAUAAGAUAACAUGACGUCAGCUCAACUAGCAUAAUCCAAGUAUCUGAACUUCAUGCUUGCAGACCAUGAUAUCUUGGUCAACCUGUUUAUCUGAAAUCAAAUAAGUGGGGAAUAAGAAUAGUCACUUCGUCUUAGUGAAUUCCUACUACCCAGUUACUAUUGGUUUCUACACCGGGGCAACUAAUGAACUAAAAGUUCCUUGAUCCUGAUUGUCAGUCUCUAACAUAAUUUUAUAACAUGAUUUCAUAAACAUAAUAAUAUAAAGGUAUAACACAGAUUAAUUAUUUUGUUCCUUUUAACAUAACUAAGACACUCUGAGGUGAGCCGGUCUCAGAGGAGGCCUAACAUAUCCGUUGUCGAUGAUUAUACGCAUCGACACGGUAUGAAGCUCACAAUCGUAACAUGAUUGGAUUCCUCGAAUCCCAUAACGUGGUACAUAAGUAACCAUCAUGAUUGACUGACUUUCUUAACUUACCUUAAUUAUCCUGAUUGUUAUCCUGCCCAUGAAUUCCCUCCCAGGGUAUUUCUAAACUGUCCUGAUACUUAAUUUCCUGAGUGUGCUUAACAUUCUAAACACAUAGACAUUGUUACACUGUUCAUAAAAUGUAUUAGAAAUGAAAUGAAUAUAAAACGAGUGAAUUUGCAGUUCAAAUAAAAUUAUGCAAUGUUCUAUUCUGACACGCUCGCCUAGCGAAGCCUUGACUCACUAAGCGAGUAUAUCAGUACAUAACCCUGUUUGCUUUUUUUGUAAAAUCAAGCCAAUAUUCACCUACAAUCCAUAACUUCCUAAUUUCAGACACUGUAAUUAGUCCAUAUAUUUAGAAUGGAGAAUUGUUUGGGGAUUUAACCAUUCUCACACAAUAAAUUCCUUAAAUCCUAAUAUUGUCAUGCAAUUGAUAAAUUGGGGAACUAAUAUUCUAACUAAACUAAUGUUAUCAUGCAUUUAUUUUAUUUGGGAAAACUAAUUGAGCUAAACUAACUAGAGUUUAAGGCUCUAAGGGAACCCACCUGAAAUCGACGCUUGAACAGUACCACCGACAUUUCCGAAACUCGUCGAAAAGCGGAAUUUGCAACGAAACUACUCCAAACUCGUGUGCAGAUUUUUUUGCAUAAUACCAGCAUCAGAGUUCCAACUUCAACAAUACCUACCGGCCACAAUUCUCGUCCAUAAAUUAUGAAACCGCGAUCAUAACGACCGUAUUUGAGUUAGCUUUCCAUAGCAAUCAGAAUAAACUCAAACGAAGCUACAGAGAGAAAUAAUUUACCGUUUGAGUGCAGCCCAAUCCCAAACACUUUAUGCAUAAAUUCUGUGUUGAACCUUUCACUUUAAAAAUUCGUAGAGACCUCAUUUCUCCAUUACAUAUCACUAGGCAUUUUAGUGAGUGUACAUCCAGCAUACGAAUUUCCAUAAAUAUUUUCAAUCUUCUUGUUUCCUUGUUCCAACAACUGUCCUUACUGAUUCAUAC
rnacentral:lncRNA from 1 species